rnacentral:tRNA from 1 species
GUUUCUGUAGUGUWGUGGUUWUCACGUGCGCCUCACACGCGYAAGGUUGCCGGUUCGAACCCGGCCAGAAACA